rnacentral:rRNA from 1 species
UACAGAGGAUGCAAGCGUUAUCCGGAUUUAUUGGGCGUAAAGAGCUCGUAGGCGGCUUGUUGCGUCGACUGUGAAAACCCGCGGCUUAACCGCGGGCUUGCAGUUGAUACGGGCAGGCUAGAGUUCGGUAGGGGAGACUGGAAUUCCUGGUGUAGCGGUGAAAUGCGCAGAUAUCAGGAGGAACACCGGUGGCGAAGGCGGGUCUCUGGGCCGUAACUGACGCUGAGGAGCGAAAGCGUGGGGAGCGAACAGG